UUGUUUGACAGCUACUCAUUGUUCUCUGCUCAGUUAAUUUCAUGUGACAAACCGGUAUUGUGUUCACUGUGAAAUUGUGAAAAAUAAGUUAUUCGUUCCCUAACACUUCAAUUGGAAACCAUCAAAUCAAUCACGUUUAUUGUGCAAAUUUUUAUUCAAUUUCAACAACAGGCAUUUGUCUUUAAGGUGUCCAAAAUGCCUAGAGGACGACGUGCCAACAUCGGCCGCCGCACAAGCAUGCAAGCCAGCAACAAGUGUAUUCACAGAACUUAAGCAAAGAAAGACAAAAUAUUAUAUAAUAAGUGAAAAU